GGUACUUUGGCCGAGUGGUCUAAGGCGGUGGUUUUAAGUUGAUAUAUGACGAAAACACCACUAUCGAGAGAUGCGUGGGUUCAAACCCCACAGGUACCA
rnacentral:tRNA from 1 species